CCGAGUUAGGGUCUCACCGGCCCGACCUCCCAACCCUUUGUCUACUUGACCAUCGUUGCUUCGGCGAGCCCGUCCUCACGGACCGCCGGAGGGCCUUGACCGCCCUCUGGCCCGCGCUCGUCGACAGCCCCCAACUUUAAAAUCUUAACUAAACGUGUCUUGAAUCUAAGUAUUAUUGUUAAAUAAAAACA
rnacentral:misc_RNA from 1 species